CUCCAGCCUGGGCAACAGAGUGAGAACCUAUCUCUAAAAUAAUAGUAAGUAAAAAUAAUAAAUAAAUGAAGCUCUCUGCCCACGAUCCAAUCUCAGGGUAAGGAAUUGGCACAGCCUGGAUUUGAAGGUGGGUCUCUAUGAACCUGUGCUUCAAUCCAUCCCACUUCAUAAUCGCCUCUCCACAGGCCUCCAUCCAACCACAGCUGCACAGGCAUCAGAGCUUUGGUUCUACAACGUGAGCUGAUACCAAUAGCCCCUGGAGGGAUUGUUAAAACACUGAUUCCAGGGCCCUAGCCAUGGAGUGUCUGAUUCAGUAGGCCUUAGGUAAGGUCUGAAAAUCUGCAUUUCUAACAAGGUCCCAGGUGAUACUGACGCUACUGAUUCAGGGAUCACACUUUGAGAACCGCUGAAUAGACUGCCAUUCAAGCCAAGAUGAGAAAACUGAGGUCCAGAUAAGCUGAGUCAUCCAAAGUCUCACAGCUACCAUGUGAACUGAGCCAGGAUUUGAACCCAGGCAUUCUGCCUCCAGAGCCCAGGCUGUUAACUGCUGCAUCAUGCUGGACAUGCUGCACCUGCCCCCAUUCCUACCCCAGGGGACCUCCUGUGUGCCAUGACGCUUCACAAUCAGAACCUCGCUUAAGCCUCAUGACAACUUUAUGCAUCUGGUCAUUUUGCAAAUCCAAUCAAUCAAUACGGAGCACUUGCUAUGUUCCUGAUGCUAAACUAGAUACCAGGGACACGGUGCAGAGGAUGAAGACAGAUAAGGACCCAUCUCUUGGGGAACUUACCGUCUAGAGAGAGAAGACAGCCAGACGAGGAGAGAGGCAAUCGUGGGCAGUGCAGGAGAACAGGAAACACAGGGGGCUUUGCAAGCACAGAAUAGGGACUCAGUAAAUAUUCGUGGUUGAAUGGAAAGCUCUUAGGAUAAUGGCUCUCAGUUCAGAAGCAGUAGGAGACCGAGGAGUCAAGAGGUGAGGAACAAAAUGUCAGCUUAUUACAGAUAAAGCUGUUUAGAGAACGUGGCUUGGGCAUGCAGGCAAAUGGAACUGCUAACACUGAUCCUCAGAGUUGGACAGCCUUACCUUUGCAAUCACAGGACACAUGGGCCCUGUGUCUGGCUGCUGGCACAUGAGUCUCUGCUUGAGGGUUUAUCUGGCACUGGACCCUGCUCACCAGGAAUUGAUGCCUCCUGGGAGUAGCCUCCAACCAAUUACUCUAGGAAUUGGCAUUGAGAUCCUCCAGCCUCCUACCCUUGAAGUGGGCAACUCUGAGGCACUCUCGGUGCCGUCUCGCAGAACUCCCAGGAGGACUGAGCUCCCGUGGCCCACGGUGCUAACUGGCUUUCUAAUAAACACUUUAUGAGCCUU
rnacentral:lncRNA from 1 species